rnacentral:rRNA from 1 species
UAGGCAUGGUGUGUAAGCGUUGUGAGGCGUUGAGCUAACAUGUACUAAUGACUCGAGAGGCUUAACCAU